UCGGAUUGUAGUCUGCAACCCGACUACAUGAAGCCGGAAUCGCUAGUAAUCGCGGAUCAGAAUGCCGCGGUGAAUACGUUCCCGGGUCUUGUACACACCGCCCGUCACACCAUGGGAGCCGGUAAUGCCCGAAGUCUGUGGCCCAACCGAGAGGGGGAGCAGCCGAAGGCAGGCCCGGUGACUGGGGUGAAGUCGUAACAAGGUAUC
rnacentral:rRNA from 1 species